rnacentral:misc_RNA from 1 species
AACUUUUAACAAUGGAUCUCUUGGUUCUGGCAACGAUGAAGAACGCAGCGAAAUGCGAUAAGUAAUGUGAAUUGCAGAAUUUAGUGAAUCAUCGAAUCUUUGAACGCACAUUGCGCCCCCUGGCAUUCCGGGGGGCACACCUGUUCGAGCGCCAUUUCUACCCUGGAGCCCUGCUCUGUGAUGGGCCCCGUCCUCGCGGACGGGCCCGAAACCCGUGGGCGCCGUCGUCCGGUCCCGAGCGUAGCAAGAGAAAUCCCUCGCUCGGAGCGCCAGGCGGUGGCCGCCCCGACCCAUUUUUACAAGGUUGGCCUCGGAUCAGGUGGGGAUACCCGCUGAACUUAAGCAUAUCAAUAAGCGGAGGCU